rnacentral:rRNA from 1 species
GAGAGCGGCGCACGGGUGCGGAACACGUGUGCAACCUGCCUUUAUCUGGGGGAUAGCCUUUCGAAAGGAAGAUUAAUACCCCAUAAUAUUUUGAAUGGCAUCAUUUAAAAUUGAAAACUCCGGUGGAUAGAGAUGGGCACGCGCAAGAUUAGAUAGUUGGUAGGGUAACGGCCUACCAAGUCAGUGAUCUUUAGGGGGCCUGAGAGGGUGAUCCCCCACACUGGGUACUGAGACACGGACCAGACUCCUACGGGAGGCAGCAGUGAGGAAUAUUGGACAAUGGGUGAGAGCCUGAUCCAGCCAUCCCGCGUGAAGGACGACGGCCCUAUGGGUUGUAAACUUCUUUUGUACAGGGGAUAACCUUUCCACGUGUGGAAAGCUGAAGGUACUGUACGAAUGAGCACCGGCUAACUCCGUG